UAGUGAACCAGUACCGUGAGGGAAAGGCGAAAAGAACCCCGGCGAGGGGAGUGAAAAAGAACCUGAAACCGUGUACGUACAAGCAGUGGGAGCACAGGUUUACCUGUGUGACUGCGUACCUUUUGUAUAAUGGGUCAGCGACUUAUAUUCUGUAGCAAGGUUAACCGUAUAGGGGAGCCGGAGGGAAACCGAGUCUUAAUUGGGCGUUAAGUUGCAGGGUAUAGACCCGAAACCCGGUGAUCUAGCCAUGGGCAGGUUGAAGGUUGGGUAACACUAACUGGAGGACCGAACCGACUAAUGUUGAAAAAUUAGCGGAUGACCUGUGGCUGGGGGUGAAAGGCCAAUCAAACCGGGAGAUAGCUGGUUCUCCCCGAAAGCUAUUUAGGUAGCGCCUCGUGAAUUCAUCUCCGGGGGUAGAGCACUGUUUCGGCUAGGGGGCCAUCCCGGCUUACCAACCCGAUGCAAACUGCGAAUACCGGAGAAUGUUAUCACGGGAGACACACGGCGGGUGCUAACGUCCGUCGUGAAGAGGGAAACAACCCAGACCGCCAGCUAAGGUCCCAAAGUCAUGGUUAAGUGGGAAACGAUGUGGGAAGGCCCAGACAGCCAGGAUGUUGGCUUAGAAGCAGCCAUCAUUUAAAGAAAGCGUAAUAGCUCACUGGUCGAGUCGGCCUGCGCGGAAGAUGUAACGGGGCUAAACCAUGCACCGAAGCUGCGGCAGCGACACUGUGUGUUGUUGGGUAGGGGAGCGUUCUGUAAGCCUGUGAAGGUGUGUCGUGAGGCAUGCUGGAGGUAUCAGAAGUGCGAAUGCUGACAUAAGUAACGAUAAAGCGGGUGAAAAGCCCGCUCGCCGGAAGACCAAGGGUUCCUGUCCAACGUUAAUCGGGGCAGGGUGAGUCGACCCCUAAGGCGAGGCCGAAAGGCGUAGUCGAUGGGAAACGGGUUAAUAUUCCCGUACUUGGUGUUACUGCGAAGGGGGGACGGAGAAGGCUAUGUUGGCCGGGCGACGGUUGUCCCGGUUUAAGCGUGUAGGUGUGUGUUCCAGGUAAAUCCGGUUCACUUUAACACUGAGGCGUGACGACGAGGCACUACGGUGCUGAAGCAACAAAUGCCCUGCUUCCAGGAAAAGCCUCUAAGCAUCAGGUAACAUCAAAUCGUACCCCAAACCGACACAGGUGGUCAGGUAGAGAAUACCAAGGCGCUUGAGAGAACUCGGGUGAAGGAACUAGGCAAAAUGGUGCCGUAACUUCGGGAGAAGGCACGCUGACACGUAGGUGAAGUGAUUUACUCAUGGAGCUGAAGUCAGUCGAAGAUACCAGCUGGCUGCAACUGUUUAUUAAAAACACAGCACUGUGCAAACACGAAAGUGGACGUAUACGGUGUGACGCCUGCCCGGUGCCGGAAGGUUAAUUGAUGGGGUCAGCGCAAGCGAAGCUCCUGAUCGAAGCCCCGGUAAACGGCGGCCGUAACUAUAACGGUCCUAAGGUAGCGAAAUUCCUUGUCGGGUAAGUUCCGACCUGCACGAAUGGCGUAAUGAUGGCCAGGCUGUCUCCACCCGAGACUCAGUGAAAUUGAACUCGCUGUGAAGAUGCAGUGUACCCGCGGCAAGACGGAAAGACCCCGUGAACCUUUACUAUAGCUUGACACUGAACAUUGAGCCUUGAUGUGUAG
rnacentral:rRNA from 1 species